AGAAGAAGAAGCCACACCUUUACCUAAACAGGAAGGGACUGUCCUCAACACUCAAACCAGUUAUCCAUCCAUUAUCUUAGCCACUUAUCCUGUUCUACAAGGUCACAGGCAAGCUGGAGCCUAUCCCAGCUGACUAUGGGUGAGAGGCGGGGUACACCCUGGACAAGUUGCCAGGUUAUCACAGGGCUGACACAGAGACAAACAACCAUUCACACCUAUGGUCAAUUUAGAGCCACCAAUUAAACUAACCUGCAUGUCUUUGGACUGUGGGGGAAACCGGAGCACCCGGAGGAAACCCACGCAGACAUGAGGAGAACAUGCAAACUCCACACAGAAAGGCCCUCACCAGCCGCUGGACUUGAACCAAGGACCUUCUUGCUGUGAGGUGACCGUGCUAACCACUACACCACCAUGCCGCCCUCUUACAGUUAUCAUCCUUUUAUUUAAACAUUUCUCUCGAAUGCCUUUACUUGUAUUUCAUUUUUGAUCAUGAUUUAAAACGUGUUGUGCCACCUGGCUUGAAAAGCCCUAUUUAAAUAAAGGUAUUAUUAUUAUUA